GCUGGGCCACGGUGGCGUGUGCCUGUAGUCCCAGUUACUCGGGAGGCUGAGGUGGGAGGAUCGCUUGAGUCCAGGAGUUCUGGGCUGUGGUGCACUAUGCCGAUCGGGUGUCCGCACUAAGUUCGGCAUCAAUAUGGGGAUCUCCCGGGAGCAGGGGACCACCAGGUUGCCUAAGGAGGGGUGAACCGGCCCAGGUUGGAAACGGAGCAGGUCAAAACUCCCAUGCUGAUCAGUAGUGGGAUUGCGCCUGUGAAUAGCCACUGCACUCCAGCCUGGGCAACAUAGCGAGACCCUGUCUCU
rnacentral:SRP_RNA from 1 species